rnacentral:rRNA from 1 species
AUUGAACGCUGGCGGCAGGCCUAACACAUGCAAGUCGCGCAGAGCGGCGGACGGGUGAGUAAUGCCUGGGAAUCUGCCUGGUAGUGGGGGAUAACGUCCGGAAACGGGCGCUAAUACCGCAUACUAUCAGAUGAGCCUAGGUCGGAUUAGCUAGUUGGUGGGGUAAAGGCCUACCAAGGCGACGAUCCGUAACUGGUCUGAGAGGAUGAUCAGUCACACUGGGACUGAGACACGGUCAAGACUCCUACGGGAGGCAGCAGUGGGGAAUUUUGGAUAAUGGUCUAAAGCCUGAUCCAGCCAUGCCGCGUGUGUUAAUAAGGUCAUCGGAUUGUAAAGCACUUCAAGUUGGGAGGCGGUCCCAACAGAAUAAGCACCGGCGAACUUCGUGCCAGCAGCCGCGGUAAUUC